rnacentral:rRNA from 1 species
CCAGACUCCUACGGGAGGCAGCAGUCGGGAAUAUUGCGCAAUGGAGGAAACUCUGACGCAGUGACGCCGCGUGCAGGAAGAAGGUUUUCGGAUUGUAAACUGCUUUAGAUAGGGAAGAAAAAAAUGACAGUACCUAUAGAAUAAGCUCCGGCUAACUACGUGCCAGCAGCCGCGGUAAUACGUAGGGAGCGAGCGUUAUCCGGAUUUAUUGGGUGUAAAGGGUGCGUAGAUGGAUAAACAAGUUGGUUGUGAAAUCCCUCGGCUUAACUGAGGAAUUGCAACCAAAACUGUAGAUCUUGAGUACUGGAGGGGAAAGCGGAAUUCCUAGUGUAGCGGUGAAAUGCGUAGAUAUUAGGAAGAACACCGGUGGCGAAGGCGGCUUUCUGGACAGAAACUGACAUUGAGGCACGAAAGUGUGGGGAGCAAGCAGGAUUAGAUACCCGAGUAUU